GACGAACGCUGGCGGCGUGCUUAACACAUGCAAGUCGAACGCAGUGGCGCACGGGUGAGUAACGCGUAAUCAACCUGCCCUUCAGAGGGUGACAACAGUUGGAAACGACUGCUAAUACCGCAUACUGAAGGAGGGGAUUGCGUCUGCUUAGCUCGUUGGAGGGGUAACGGCCCACCAAGGCGAUGAUCAGUAGCCGGGCUGAGAGGAGGAACGGCCAAAUUGGGACUGGGACACGGCCCAGACUCAUACGGGAGGGAGCAGGGGGGAAUCUGCCGCAAUGGAGGAAAGGCGGACGGAGCAACGCCGGGUGAGUGAUGACGGCCUUCGGGUUGGAAAGCUCUGUUAAUCGGGACGCGGUACCGGAAUAGAAAGCCACGGCUAACUACGUGCCAGCAGCCGCGGUAAUAC
rnacentral:rRNA from 1 species